rnacentral:lncRNA from 1 species
AAAGUUGCUAAAUAUAUGUAGAGGCUCAAUUUAGCCCGAGCCUAAAUAAGAUAACAACCAAAAAUUUUAAAAAUAAUAAACAGAUGAGUCCAUUAAUAGUCCAAUUUUACAAACUCAAAACACAAGCCCAAACACAAAGAGAAGCCUAGUGACCCAAAUCCUAAAACCAAGAUAGGAAACCCUAGUUGCGCUAGCCCCUUGCCAUGCCGCUCCUCGACAUGUCAGCGAACGCAGUGCCCUAGACUUCUGCAACUUUCACCAAAACGGUAAUGGCCCCAACCCCGUUGACUUCCAUCGCCCCUGUAAGAAGAGAAAAAAAGGAAAAAGGCACAAGAACAAGCAAUCGAAAGCAAAAAAUAAACAAAAAUAUUGUAAUAUAUUCGGUUAUAAAGACCAAAAAAUAUUGUAAUGAAAAGGAGGGAAUCGAAAUAAAAAAAUCGAAGCAAAAAAAAAGUUCAAAAAAGAAAGGUAGCCUAUUGUUAUUUUUUACUUUCGAAACACAAAAAGUAAAAAAGGAAGUUUUUCUUUACCUGUUACAUAUUCGUUAGAGAGGUAGAAGCCGAAAGGUUUCUCUCCCUUUCAAAGAUUUUUUGCAAUUCCGACUACAAAUCGGAGUUCUACGUGAAAAAAGGGACUCCUUGGGAAAAUUUUGGUGAUUUUCGGCCACCGGAGGCGGCGAUCUCCGUCACUGGUGAUCA